rnacentral:rRNA from 1 species
UACGUAGGGUCCGAGUGUUGUCCGGAAUUAUUGGGCGUAAAGAGCUCGUAGGCGGUUUGUUGCGUCGGCUGUGAAAUCCCGAGGCUCAACCUCGGGUCUGCAGUCGAUACGAGCAAACUAGAGUGUUGCAGGGGGAGACUGGAAUUCCUGGUGUAGCGGUGAAAUGCGCAGAUAUCAGGAGGAACACCGGUGGCGAAGGCGGGGUCUCUGGGGCAACAACUGACGCUGGAGGAGCGAAAGCGUGGGGGGCGAACAGG